rnacentral:rRNA from 1 species
GCGAACUGAUUAGAAGCUUCCUUCUAUUACGUUAGCGGCGGACGGGUGAGUAACACGUGGGCAACCUGCCUGUAAGACUGGGAUAACUUCGGGAAACCGAAGCUAAUACCGGAUAGGAUCUUCUCCCUCAUGGGAGAUGAUUGAAAGAUGGUUUCGGCUAUCACUUACAGAUGGGCCCGCGGUGCAUUAGCUAGUUGGUGAGGUAACGGCUCACCAAGGCAACGAUGCAUAGCCGACCUGAGAGGGUGAUCGGCCACACUGGGACUGAGACACGGCCCAGACUCCUACGGGAGGCAGCAGUAGGGAAUCUUCCGCAAUGGACGAAAGUCUGACGGAGCAACGCCGCGUGAGUGAUGAAGGCUUUCGGGUCGUAAAACUCUGUAGUUAGGGAAGAACAAGUACAAGAGUAACUGCUUGUACCUUGACGGUACCUAACCAGAAAGCCAC